UGCCAGUGUGGGGCCACCGCAGGCACGUGGUCCCCCUGGCCCUGCUCCUGAGUGGAAGGCAGAGCUGAGGGAGUGCUUUGGAGGGCACCAAUCACCCAGGGGCACUCACUGCCACUCUGGCCUGAAGGGGACAUGGAACAACUUUCUCUUAAGGUCCUUCUCCAUGGAAGAACUCAGACACUGGAGAAAAGAAAUCCCUGGAGGCAGCCAGACACCUGGACCAGAUGCUGAGUGAUCUGGAGAGACGCCGUGAGAUGAAGCGAAAGGCUGUGCUGAAGGCAGCAUUUCCUGGAGGAAGCAGUGGCCCAUUGGCAGCCCCUGCUGCAGGAAGUGAGGCGAUGCCAGGCACAGCCACAGGAGAUGAGCAUGCUAGCAAGGCUUCUCCAGCAGCUGGGAUGGAAGAUGGUUUGGAACCCUUGGGAGAUUCUGCAGGUGUGUCUGCAGGGAGGACUUUUCAGGCUCCUUUCCUGGUUGCUGCGCACAAGCCUGGCUCCCAUCACAGGGG